rnacentral:hammerhead_ribozyme from 1 species
AUCCAGCUGACGAGUCCCAAAUGGGGCGUCCUGGAU